ensembl:misc_RNA Metazoa_SRP Metazoan signal recognition particle RNA
GCUGGGCGUGGUGGCGGGCACCUGUAGUCCCAGCUACUUGGGAGGCUGAGGCAGGAGAAUUGCUUGAACCCAGGAGCUGGAGAUUGCAAUGAGAUUGGGCCAUUGCACUCCAGCCUGGGUGACACAGCCAGACCCUGUCUCUU